CCUACGGGGGGCAGCAGUAGGGAAUCUUGCGCAAUGGGCGAAAGCCUGACGCAGCAACGCCGCGUGCGGGAAGAAGGCUCUCGGGUUGUAAACCGCUUUCAGUAGGAACGAAUUUGACGGUACCUGCAGAAGAAGGUGCGGCCAACUACGUGCCAGCAGCCGCGGUGACACGUAGGCACCAAGCGUUGUCCGGAUUUAUUGGGCGUAAAGAGCUCGUAGGCGGUUCAGUAAGUCGGGUGUGAAAACUCAGGGCUCAACCCUGGGCUGCCACCCGAUACUGCUGUGACUUGAGUCCGGUAGGGGAGUGGGGAAUUCCUGGUGUAGCGGUGAAAUGCGCAGAUAUCAGGAGGAACACCGGUGGCGAAGGCGCCACUCUGGGCCGAGACUGACGCUGAGGAGCGAAAGCAUGGGUAGCAAACAGGAUUAGAUACCCUGGUAGUC
rnacentral:rRNA from 1 species